rnacentral:sRNA from 1 species
UAAACAAUUCCAUCCC